rnacentral:rRNA from 1 species
UACGGGGGGGGCAAGCGUUGUUCGGAAUUACUGGGCGUAAAGGGCUCGUAGGCGGCGCGGAAAGUAGGGUGUGAAGGCCCUCGGCUCAACCGAGGAAUUGCGCUCUAAACUACCGUGCUUGAGGAACCUAGAGGUGAGCAGAACUGAUGGUGGAGCGGUGAAAUGCGUUGAUAUCAUCAGGAAUACCGGAGGCGAAGGCGGCUCACUGGGGGUUAUCUGACGCUGAGGAACGAAAGCCAGGGGAGCAAACAGG